rnacentral:rRNA from 1 species
GUGACGAAGCGACGCCGCGUGUGGGAAGAAGGCCUUCGGGUUGUAAAUCACUGUCGGGAGUUACGAAAUGCAAGGAUAUGAAUAGUAUCUUUGCUUGUCUAAGGCUCCGGAGGAAGCCACGUCUAACUAUGUGUCAGCAGCCGCGGUAAUUCCGAGGUGGCCAGCGUCGUUCGGAAUUAUUGGGCGUAAAGAGCACGUAGGCGGCUACGUAAGUCGGUUGUGAAAGCCUUCCGCUCACCGGGAGAACAGCAUCCGAUCCCGCAUGGUUUGAGUGCGGGAGGGGAGAGUGGAACUUCUGGUGGAGCGGUGAAAUGCGUAGAUAUCAGAAGGAACGCCGGCGGCGAAAGCGGCUCUCUGGCCCAUAAUCGACGCAGAUUGUGAGAAAGGUCGGGGAGCAACCGGGAUUAGACACCCCGGUAGUCCUAGCCGUAAACGAG